ACCCAGACGUUGCCUUCUCUCAAUCGAUCUCAUCGUCUUCUCCACUCCUCUUCUCACUAAUUCAUAUAAUCCAUCAAAUUUGCUGCAAACCCAGUGAGGAUUCGGCGGAGACGGAGACCCAAAGCGGAAUGAGUCUACCCCUCUUAUCCUUUCUCUCAAGUUCACAAAUUUGAGGAAAAAUCCAAACUCGUUUCGCUGAAGAAUCGACGGAGCCCAAAGUUCGAUAUCUCCAUUCUUCUCCUCUCAAUUCCCAAAUUGGUCGACAGUAUCCAGUGCUCAUUGUUUUAAUUUUUAGCUCUAUGGAUUUUGGUUUGGGAUUGUUAUUAUGAGUGAUUAUUUUGUUGUGUUUCAGAAUUUCAGAGAGAUCUGCUUUGGAUUUUUCAAGAGACGCUUUCUGAGCAGCUUCCCAGUAUCGAAAUGGCACAGGUCUGCAUUCAACGAUAUCGAUUGCUAGGCUGCUUGUACAAACUCAUACAUCUCAAAUUUGCAAUGAAAAUUCAAGAUUAUGGAGUCCGGUUUGCUGUCUUAAGAGGAGGCAAAUAAAGUGUGAGAAAAAGCAGAAGACCAGAACAGUUCUCCAAGUUAACUUGUAGGUUCUGGAAGGAAGACCACAACAGUCAGUACUCCAAGUAGAGGUGGAGCUUCUGUAAAGAAAACACCUUUGUUAUGAUGAUUUGUGAUAUCGGAGAGACCAAAGAAUUUGACGCAGCUUAAUCUGAUUUCUCAUUAACCAAUUGUAGUCGUUCACCUUUUGUAUGCAACUGUGUGUAUUAUGAUGUCAUGAUUUACUCAUUUAGUAUUACCCA